CGAAGACGUUCGGAGACACCCGAGUGGAUUUCAACUCAAUGAGCAAGAAUCCAUCUGUGCCCAGUUGAUCACCGAGGACGAGGGCUUGGCUCGGCUGGCCCACACGGUGCAGGUCUUGGUGGACCUCGCGCCGACUGCUGCCAGCCACCGCCGCGCUAGCAGACCGGAGCCUCUAGGGGCGGACAGCUAAGCACUGCUCCAUCCUUCUCUUAGCUCCAUGUCGUCCACUGAUUUUGCUGUCAUCCAAAGGUCCAAAAUGUCUUCUCAGAGCGACCCGGCAGGACCACAACCGUCAGCCACGACAUCCGGACAGAACCGGGAGUCAGAGUCCGCCUCUGGCCCUACCGCAUCCCGGAAGCACGGCGCGCUGUCAUCAGAACAGAGGUCGCCCGCAUGCUGCAGAUGGGGGUCAUAGAGGAGUCCCAUAGCGCGUGGUCCAGCCCGGUGGUUCUGGUACCCAAACCAGACGGGACCUACCGGUUCUGCAAUGACUUUCGCAAACUGAACGAAGCGUCUGUCUUCGACGCCUACCCUAUGCCACGGUUAGACGAGUUGAUAGAGCAACUGGGCCCGGCCCGGUUCAUAUCCACCCUAGACCUCACGAAGGGAUACUGGCAGGUCCCCCUCACCAAGCAGUCCCGGGAGAAGACGGCGUUCGCCACACCAGACGGGCUAUACCAAUACACCGUCCUCCCGUUCGGGGUGCAUGGGGCACCCGCAACCUUUCAAAGGAUGAUGGACCGGAUCCUACGGGCCCACAGAGAAUACGCCGCCGCGUAUUUAGAUGACAUCGUAAUACACAGCAGCACCUGGACCAUCCAUCUCCACCACCUCCGAGCCGUCCUGGGGGCGCUUCGAACCGCCGGCCUCACGGCCAACCCCAAGAAGUGUCGCCUGGGCCUGGAGGAGGCCUC
ensembl:lncRNA